UUAUAGUAAUUACCACAUAAAUAAUUAAUCUUAUUGAAAUUGAGUAGUCUUAACUUCUGCAUAAUUUAAUAUGUAAAGUAUGCAUCUUUGAAGAAUACAAAUUUUUUUGAGAAGUCUAUUAUUAAAAUUUUAAAAAUAAAUUAAAAUACAGAUAUUUAUUUAUUUUUUAAGUUUCAGGAAGAUACAAAUCAUAUAUUUAAUCUUGGUUAACGGGAAAUAGAUAAUGUUAAUUUACCAGGCACUUCAAAAAAUUAGAAAAUUUAGAUUUUCAACUAGCAUGUAUUAUGUAUUAAUACCUUAGUGGCUUAAUUACAGGAAUAGUUAAGGGAGUUUAAUUUAUUUCAAAUGUUUUAGAAAUAUUAUAAUACUGUAUAAUUACUAAGUACAUUAACAUAACUCUUACAUGAAUUCUAUUGUAUAUUAAUCAAAGUACCAUUAAAAUAAUUGAAAAAAUAAUUUUUAAAUGGUAGUGUAGUGUAUAAAAACAACUCUAAUAUUGUAUAAAACUCACAGUGCCUAAUAUUUGAUUUGCAUGGAUAAUUUUGUAUUUUUAACUAGUAAUAAAAAAUUUGGUUGAAAACACCUAGAAUGAAUCUAAUGGAUUUGGAAUUGGACAACAACCAGCUUUUUUCAAAAGUGAUAGACAAAAACACUACCCUUAGGGUAUCAUUUUAAUUCUCUUGGGGUAAUCAAACAAUUUUAGGGGAUGGCGCUAGAAUUUUAAAAGUUCAUAAUUAACGGCCACUCUAACUGACACUAAAUAGUAUCUCCCAGAUCUACUAAGAUUAUUAAUUAAAAGUAACAAAAAUUUCAUAAGUAGGCAGCUAGGAGACACCAAUUCAAUGCUUAUAAAAGAGUACUGAACAGAACAGUAAAUGACUGACUGAAGAGACUUCCAUUCUACUAGAGGAAUACUGUCAAUUUUAGUAGCUAAUAAAUAUUAAAAAUAUUUAACAAUUCUAUUUAUAAAAAUUUAUUAUUUUAUAUAUAUUUAAUUGUAAUGAUUGAUAAUAAAAAAUAAAUUCUGUUCUUUCAUAUUUACUAAUGACCAAUGUAUUGUAAAACAAAUUAUAAAUUAUAUUUAAUAUGUUAAAAUUUUCAGAAUACCUAGACAUAUUUUAUUAUUAUUAAAUUAUUACUUUGUAU